rnacentral:lncRNA from 1 species
UCCUUUUUUCUUCAAAUUGCUCACAUUUUUGUACAAGCCAAAAAUAUCUGCCAUUGUAAUUAUAUUCAUGCAAAAUAUUCAGUGUUUUCACAUUUUAAUGAAAAAUAAAAAGGAUUUGCUGAACUUUUUUCCUUCUUCUGAAGUGCACUCUUGGAUUAUUAUGAUAACUGUAAUUAGCAAAUUAAGAUGUGCACUUUGUGCCAAUACACAAUAUUUAAGCAAGUAAAACAAAAUUAAGGCCAUUCCAACUUGUGCUAAAAAAUAAUAAAAAUACCUAAAUAAAAAAGUUUCAAUUUUUGUGUACAGUUCAGUUCAUGACUGGUUAUUUCUGUCCAUCUCUAUCACUGGUUGGUGAGUGCGUCACCAUAACCAGGGCAUCUGAUAUAUAAAAAAUACAAUAAACAGAAUCAAACAGCUGUUGUUAUCAGCAAUUACUAACAAAUCAUAACAUGCUAGUUGAAUUUCAUACUUUUAAAAUGUUCAUAUUGCACUGUCCUAUAUGCCAAAUAUUAUAUGAACUUCCUUCAUUGUCAAUAAUAUUUGACAUUAUGAUAGGUCAGGUUGAUAUGAAGGGUAGGAAGUCCAGCUGUCCAAUGGAGGUUUCCCCAUCACUGGACAUUCUAACCACUUCCAUACUUUGAACAUUGAUCUGCUGAGCAAUUAAGUUAAACAUACAAUUCUUGUUCUAGAAUGUGUCAGUGUUCUAGAAUACGUUAGACCUUGUUGAAGUUGUCUAUUCAGAGCAGUAAGUGUCAUUUCCAUCUGGAAUAACAUAAUAAACAAAGUAAGCCUUGUCCGAGCCCCUGCCCCUUGUCCCGUAGGGCAGGAGCCUAUCAGGGUCAGGGUAAAUUCCAGAAAUUCAAUUCCAAUUCAAUUCCUUCUUCCUAUUCAUUUCCCAUGUAUUCAAUUCAAAUUCCAGGACAAGCCUCAAUUGAAUUAAAAUUCAAUUUAAAUUGGAAUUGACCCCAACCCUGGAGCCUAUCUCCUGUUUCUGUAGCAUGAGGCAGCUUGAUGUACAAGUACACGCCCUGGACAGGUCACUAGUAAUAAUGCACCUUAAUAAGCAAUUGGUUACAAUAAAUCCAUAUAGCAUUUUCCCAAGUGCAGUGAUCGUUCACAUGGUCAGGGCAGAGUUCAAUCCAUGACUAUUGAAUGGAUAAGUGAAUAUCAUGGUGGUUGAUUGGAGGUAUAUGAUAUGAUUAGUUGCUAGUUUGUUGCAUAUUCAACACUGGAUAACAUUUUAUUUAAUGGAUAGUUUUGUCUGAGGAAGUCAAAACUGAGGAAAGAUUCAUGGUCAAAAUCUGUGCUGAAAUAUUGUGGCCUACAAAUAACUAUCAAAUGUUUUGUCACUUUCAAAACAUAUUGAUUACUGUGCUGAUGUUUUACAUGGCCAAUACGUUUUAACUCCCUUUUAGCAAUUCACUUUUAUAAAUGCAGUUUUGGGUAAAGCAUAACAUUAUACAUGUUGAAAGUUAAUUUGCUGGGAUAAAAAUAAUACUAAUAGAAAAACAUAGCCCUUCAAAUCAAUUUACCCAUCGACCGUGUCUGUUGAAAACACACCAAUAUGUUUUUGACAAAUACUGCCUUGAAGGUAAUAUGAAUUACCGGAAGAUAAUAUAUAUUUUAAGAAAUAGUUGACCGAAAUGUUAAAUAUUGUGCAAGUCCAUCAAGCCUUAAACAUCAAACCACCUCAAACUAUCAUUAACACAUGCUGAAAUCUAUGACCUGUUAAAGUAACGGAUUACACUUUUCAAGAAGAAAAAAAAACAGGGAUGAAGAAGCUGAAAAAGUUUCAUAUCAAAAUAUAUUAUAUUGUUAAUUGAAUAGCAUCAUAUUACC